AGGUGUAGUGUGUGCACGUCUUUUGAUUGGAUUACCAAUAUUGAGAGGCAAGUCCUAUGGGCAGGUCUAUGCAGAACCUCAGAACUAGGAAACUGAAUUUGAUAAACAAAUUCAUUUGCGUACUACUAAGCUGUUUUUUCAACCCACAAUGGCGGAAGGAGGAGAAGAUAUCGAUUUGGUCGAGGAUAUAAUUAUAACGCCAUUCUCAUGACGAACUUUUCAAGAAAAGUUAGACAUUGUAAGGAGAGGUCGCCUGACGCCGACGCUACAAAGCCUGUCACAGGCGGGAAAGGGGUUCGUUCGCCACUUUCAAAGUUCCAACUACGAGCGCCAUCAAUGGCUCACAGGCUCCGAGGAACACUGCAAACUGUACUGCUGGGAAUGCCUAUUAUUUGCAAGUGAUCGAUUGUGUUUGGAGCCACACUGGCAUUGCAAACUUAAGUUGUCUAACCAAGGCAGCAACGAGACACCAAAUUACGGCUGGCCACUUACAAGCAAUGGUGCUUUUGAAAACUUUUGGGGACACCCGAAUGGAUCUACAGCUCAACGAACAAGCGCGCAGGGAAACGGAGCUGCACAAUGAAAAGGGAUGCUGAAACCUGGGAUGACUCAUGACUGACUUGGAGAUGAAGGCUAAAAACAAAAUCCUCAAAGAGCCUAUUCCAGAAAUCAAGUCAUUACAAUGUCUUCUUUUGUGCAUUUAUUUUCAUUCUGAUGUGUGUAUAUCACUUCUAAACCUAAACCUGUUUCUGAGAAUCACACCACUUCCUGCUUUCUGACCACACCGAGAGGGAGUUUCCAUGACGCUCUGCAGAGCUGAAGUGCAUUGUGGUCUCAUGGCCUACACUCAGAUGGAACUGUUAUACAUGUUGGUUCAUCUGGGUCAGAUCUUAUUUUUCCGCUUUGAGAAAAAGGAAAUUGUGUGUAGACUACAUUUACAACAGCUCAAAACUGAAAUCAUGCAUGCAAGUUUAACAUUAUCCUGCAAAGAAUAUCUUAAUCACUGGUAUAGGUUAUGAAUGUUCCUUUUUGCAAAAUAUAUUAAUGGUCUGAGGGGGUGAGCAAAUGAACAA